rnacentral:lncRNA from 10 species
AUCCGAUCCGACGGGCGGCUUGGCAUCGGGCAACGGGGGCUGGCAUGCAGACGGGCCUCCGUGGAGUCCAGGCUGCUUCCCUGGGGAGGGAUGCACUGAGCAUGAUCCUUGGAUUUCCAACCUGCUGUUGCAACUUCCUAUCAGAGCUCCUCUUGCCAGGAACAAAGCGACAGCCGUCUGCUGGUGAGCUGGGCUAAUCCUGUUAAACAAUUCACAGAUCUGACGCCGGACACGCUUUUUGAAACCUGAGGGAAAGGAGAUACAGUCAUGGAGGGAAGAUGGCCAUGUGAAGAAGGCAGAGAUUGGAGUGUUGUUGCCACAAGCUGAGGAAUGUCUGGAGCUGCAGGAGCCCGGAGGAAGCCGGGAAGCAUCCUUCCCUAGUGCCUGCAGAGGGAGCCUGGCCAGCCGACACAUUGAUUUCUGACUUCUGGCCUCCAGAGCUGCGAGCUACUCAGUUUCUGUUGUUUUCAGCCACCCAGUUGUGGUGACUUGCUGCGGUAGCCCCCAGAGACCAGGACGCCAGCCCAGGGAUGAGGGUGCUGGUCCUGGGGGUGUCAAUGCACUGGCACAUCCCGCUUGACCCUGGAGUGGCCAGAGAAAGCCCUGGGCAGAGGUGUGGGCAGAGGUGGCAGGUGUGGGCAGAGGUGGCAGGUGCUGGCAGAGGUGGCAGGUGUUGCGGGAAGUCAGGGACCCCGAACGGAGGGAUGGGCUGAAGCCGUGGCAGAAGAACAUAAAUUGUGAAGAUUUCAUGGACAUUUAUUAGUUCCCCAAAUUAAUACUUUUAUAAUUUCUUACGCCUGUCUUUACUGCAAUCUCUGAAUAUAAAUUGUGAAGAUUUCAUGGACACUUAUCACUUCCCCAGUCAAUACUCUUGUGAUUUCCUAUGCCUGUCUUUGCUUUAACCUCUUAAUUCCGUCAUUUUCAUAAGCUGAGGACGUAUGUCACCUUAGGACCCUGUGAUGAUUGCAUUAACUGCACAAAUUGUUUAAACAAUUUGAAAUCUGGGCAUCUUGAAAAAAGAACAGGGUAAGAGCGAUGUUCAGGGAACAAGGGAGGUAACCUUAAAGUCUGGCUGCCUGUGGGCUGGGUGGGACAGAGCCAUAUUUCUCUUAUUACUGAAAACGGGUAAGAGAAAUAUCGCUGAAUUCUUUCCCCAGUGAGGAAUAUUAAUAAUUAACAGCCCUGGGAAAAGAAUGCAUUCCCAGGGUGGGGCCUCUGAAAUGGCCGCUCUGGGGGUGUCUGCCUUAUGCAGAUGUAGAUAGGGAUGAAACAUGCCCUAGUCUCCGGCAGCGCCCCCAGGCUUGCUAGGAUUAGGAAAUUCCAGCCUGGCAAAUUCUAGUCAGACCUGUUUUCUGCUCUUGAACCCUGACAAUGCGUGCACAGCGGGACAUGGAAGUUCAUUAGUGGAUUCUAGUUUCGCCCUGACCUUCUGCCUUGUGAUCUUUUGUCGCCCUUGAAGCAUGUGAUCCCUGUGACCCACACCGUAUCCGUGCACUCCCUCCCCUUUUGAAAAUCACUAAUAAAAACUUGCUGGUUUUGCGGCUUGUGGGGCAUCACGGAACCUGCCGACAUGUGAUGUCUCCCCCGGAUGCCCAGCUUUAAAAUUUCUCUCUUUUGUACUCUGUC